rnacentral:rRNA from 1 species
UAGGGAAUCUUCGGCAAUGGACGGAAGUCUGACCGAGCAACGCCGCGUGAGUGAAGAAGGUUUUCGGAUCGUAAAGCUCUGUUGUAAGAGAAGAACGAGUGUGAGAGUGGAAAGUUCACACUGUGACGGUAUCUUACCAGAAAGGGACGGCUAACUACGUGCCAGCAGCCGCGGUAAUACGUAGGUCCCGAGCGUUGUCCGGAUUUAUUGGGCGUAAAGCGAGCGCAGGCGGUUAGAUAAGUCUGAAGUUAAAGGCUGUGGCUUAACCAUAGUACGCUUUGGAAACUGUUUAACUUGAGUGCAAGAGGGGAGAGUGGAAUUCCAUGUGUAGCGGUGAAAUGCGUAGAUAUAUGGAGGAACACCGGUGGCAAAAGCGGCUCUCUGGCUUGUAACUAACGCUGAGGCUCGAAAGCGUGGGGAGCAAACAGGAUUAGAUACCCUGGUAGUCCACGCCGUAACGAUGAGUGCUAGGUGUUAGACCCUUUCCGGGGUUUAGUGUCGCAGCUAACGCAUUAAGCACUCCGCCUGGGGAGUACGACCGCAAGGUU